AUACGGAGGGUGCGAGCGUUGUUCGGAAUUAUUGGGCGUAAAGAGCAUGUAGGCGGUCUGUUAAGUCUGGUGUGAAAGCCCGGGGCUCAACCCCGGAAGUGCAUUGGAUACUGGCAGACUUGAGUAUGGGAGAGGAAAGCGGAAUUCCGAGUGUAGGAGUGAAAUCCGUAGAUAUUCGGAGGAACACCAGUGGCGAAGGCGGCUUUCUGGACCAAUACUGACGCUGAGAUGCGAAAGCGUGGGGAGCAAACGGGAUUAGAAACCCUAGUAGUCC
rnacentral:rRNA from 1 species